rnacentral:rRNA from 1 species
UCCAGACUCCUACGGGAGGCAGCAGUGGGGAAUAUUGGGCAAUGGGCGAAAGCCUGACCCAGCAACGCCGCGUGAAGGAAGAAGGCUUUCGGGUUGUAAACUUCUUUUGACAGGGAAGAGCAGAAGACGGUACCUGUCGAAUAAGCCACGGCUAACUACGUGCCAGCAGCCGCGGUAAUACGUAGGUGGCAAGCGUUGUCCGGAUUUACUGGGUGUAAAGGGAGCGUAGGCGGGGAUGCAAGUUGGGUGUCAAAACUAUCGGCUCAACCGAUAGUCGCACUCAAAACUGCAGCUCUUGAGUGAAGUAGAGGCAGGCGGAAUUCCUAGUGUAGCGGUGAAAUGCGUAGAUAUUAGGAGGAACACCAGUGGCGAAGGCGGCCUGCUGGGCUUUUACUGACGCUGAGGCUCGAAAGUGUGGGGAGCAAACAGGAUUAGAUACCCUUGUAA